CCCUUAGAUGUUCUGGGCGGCCCGCGCACUACAAUGGCGUGUGCAGCGAGUGCCGAAGUAGAGUUUUCCGAGGUAUUCUUGCAAUGCUCGUUUUGAUGGGGAUAGACCCUUGCAACUGUUGGUUUUGAACGAGGAAUUCCUUGUAAGCAUGGUUUAUCAUCCGACGCUGAAUGCGUCCCUGCCCUUUGUACACACCGCCCGUCGCUCCUACCGAUGAGUCGUCCGGUGAAGUUCGUAGACCUCGUGAUUGCGGAUCAUUGGGGGAAGCAAAAUGAACCUCGCGGUUUAGAGGAAGGAGAAGUCGUAACA
rnacentral:rRNA from 1 species